rnacentral:rRNA from 1 species
UACAGGGGGGGCAAGCGUUGUUCGGAAUUACUGGGCGUAAAGGGUUCGUAGGUGGCCAAUUAAGUCAGACGUGAAAUCCCUCAGCUUAACUGGGGAACUGCGUCUGAUACUGGUUGGCUUGAGUGCAGGAGAGGAAUGCGGAAUUCCAGGUGUAGCGGUGAAAUGCGCAGAUAUCAGGAGGAACACCAAUGGCGAAGGCAGCACUCUGGGACGUGACUGACGCUGAGACGCGAAAGCGUGGGGAGCAAACAGG